rnacentral:lncRNA from 1 species
GAAGCCUCCUCCUAAACCCACCCGGCCUCUCUAAGCCUCCUCUCAAGGAGGCUAACCCUCUGCCCCCCACUGGAUGACCCCAAAUCAUCAGAGACUUCUUCCCUGUGAACAAUACCGCAUUCCCUCCCGAAUGGGGAAAGUGAGUAUUGCUCUUCACUAGAUCAUGGCGAGGUGGUCCAAUGGACCUGGAGUCAGGAAAACCGGAGUUCAAAUUCUGUCUCGGAUAAUGACGGUGUGACUCUGGGAAGCCUUCUAAUCAUCAAGCUGUGCUCUCUGGAAGGUGAAGAAUGGAAGGAGCUGAGAACGAAGGCUAGGAACCAAGUGGAACAAAGUAUUCUUGAAGAAAAGACCAGAAGUGAACAGAAAAUGUGACUGACAAAUACAAGAAUCAGAAGAAACCUAAGAAGGUAUACAUAAAAAAACUAAUUAUGAGAGAUUUAAUAAAAACUAAAUUAUUUACUUCUUAUUUGGGAAA